rnacentral:rRNA from 1 species
CUUUCCGGUUGAUCCCGCCGGAAGGCCAUGGUAUUGGGAUUCGAUUAAGCCAUGCUAGUCGUACGAGUUCAUACUCGUGGCGAAUAGCUCAGUAACACGUGGCCAAACUACCCUUCGGAGCACCAUACCCUCGGGAAACUGAGGCUAAUAGUGCAUACCACAAUCCACCUGGAAUGAGGAUUGUGCCAAACGCUCCGGCGCCGAAGGAUGUGGCUGCGGCCGAUUAGGUAGACGGUGGGGUAACGGCCCACCGUGCCAAUAAUCGGUACGGGUCAUGAGAGUGAGAACCCGGAGACGGAAUCUGAGACAAGAUUCCGGGCCCUACGGGGCGCAGCAGGCGCGAAACCUUUACACUGCACGCCAGUGCGAUAAGGGAAUCCCAAGUGCGCAGGCAUAGAGCCUGCGCUUUUGUCCACCGUAGGGAGGUGGACGAAUAAGGGCUGGGCAAGACCGGUGCCAGCCGCCGCGGUAAUACCGGCAGCCCGAGUGAUGGCCGAUCUUAUUGGGCCUAAAGCGUCCGUAGCUGGCCGCGCAAGUCUAUCGGAAAAUCCACCCGCCCAACGGGUGGGCGUCCGGUAGAAACUGCGUGGCUUGGGACCGGAAGGCGCGACGGGUACGUCCGGGGUAGGAGUGAAAUCCCGUAAUCCUGGACGGACCGCCGAUGGCGAAAGCACGUCGCGAGGACGGAUCCGACAGUGAGGGACGAAAGCCAGGGUCUCGAACCGGAUUAGAUACCCGGGUAGUCCUGGCCGUAAACAAUGUCUGUUAGGUGUGGCUCCCGCUACGAGCGGGUGCUGUGCCGUAGGGAAGCCGCUAAACAGACCGCCUGGGAAGUACGUCCGCAAGGAUGAAACUAAAGGAAUGGCGGGAGCACUACAGC